CCUAGAGUUGUAGGCUUUGCCUGCUAUCUCUUACCCAUGUCUUUUGAGUACCCUCGUUUCCCUUCCUCGGCGGGUCCGCCCGCCGAUUGGACAAUUUAAACCAUUUGCAGUUGCAAUCAGCGUCUGAAAAAACUUAAUAGUUA
rnacentral:misc_RNA from 1 species